rnacentral:lncRNA from 1 species
UGAGCAUCCCUGCUGCUGAACUGUAGUAUACCUGAGAUGCAAGAAUGCUUCCCAAUGUUUGUGUUCAGGUGUUCUCCAGCCCCAUUCAUUCUCAUGUGCACUGCUGUGGGAGGAGGACAGCAGACAGGAUAUAUCAGCCUUGGAAGAGGAUUUCCUUACUGAUGGAGAAAGGGUGAGUGUCAAGGAAUGGGCAUGAAAGGCAGAAGAAGUCAAAGAAAUUAAUUUGUAGGAGAUAGGUAUGCUGGAUAAAUGUAAGCAGUGCCUCUGUGUAGCUGUUACUAACAGUCACUGCAGAAAUGGCCAGGCAGUGGGAGCUUGUGAGGUGAAG